rnacentral:rRNA from 1 species
UACGUAGGGGGCUAGCGUUGUCCGGAUUUAUUGGGCGUAAAGAGCGUGUAGGCGGCCAGGUAGGUGGGUUGUGAAAACUGGAGGCUCAACCUUCAGAGGUCGGACCCAAACCCCCCUGGCUAGAGUCCGGAAGAGGAGAGUGGAAUUCCUGGUGUAGCGGUGAAAUGCGCAGAUAUCAGGAAGAACACCCGUGGCGAAGGCGGCUCUCUGGGACGGUACUGACGCUGAGACGCGAAAGCCGUGGGGAGCGAACAGG